rnacentral:rRNA from 1 species
ACUCAAAUGAAUUGACGGGGGCCCGCACAAGCAGCGGAGCGUGUGGUUUAAUUCGAUGCAACGCGAAGAACCUUACCCGGGCUUGACAUGCACGUGGUACUGAGGGGAAACCCGAGGGACCCGCGAGGGAGCGUGCACAGGUGCUGCACGGCUGUCGUCAGCUCGUGCCGUGAGGUGUUGGGUUAAGUCCCGCAACGAGCGCAACCCCCGCCGCCAGUUAUGAUGUCUGGCGGGACCGCCGGGACCAACCCGGAGGAAGGUGGGGACGACGUCAAGUCAGCGUGGCCCUUACGUCCGGGGCUACACACACGCUACAAGGGCCGGGACAAUGGGUAGCGAGGGCGCGAGCCGGAGCCAAUCCCAGCAAACCCGGCCCCAGUUCGGAUCGGAGGCUGCAACCCGCCUCCGUGAAGUCGGAGUUGCUAGUAACCGCCGGUCAGCACACGGCGGUGAAUGCGUUCCCGGGCCUUGCACACACCGCCCGU